AAAGUCGUAACAAGGUUUCCGUAGGUGAACCUGCGGAAGGAUCAUUAAAAAAUGUUGGAUAUAACCAUGUGCAAGAGAUGACUAAGAAAUUUAUAGUUGGACUUUAAUUAGACAACUUUUAGCAACGGAUCUCUAGGUUCUC
rnacentral:misc_RNA from 1 species